AGAGUUUGAUCCUGGCUCAGAACGAACGUUGGCGGCGUGGAUUAGGCAUGCAAGUCGGGGGAAUCCCAGCAAUGGGGGAACCGGCGUAAGGGGCAGUAAGGCAUGGGUACCUACCUUUGGGUUCGGGAUAGCCAUCAGAGAUGGUGGGUAAUACCGGAUGACGUCGUGAGACAAAGAUUUAUCGCCCGAAGAGGGGCCCAUGUGAUAUUAGCUUGUUGGUGAGGUAACGGCUCACCAAGGCGAAGAUGUCUAGCGGGUGUGAGAGCACGACCCGCGCCACUCGCACUGAGACACUGGCGAGACACCUACGGGUGGCUGCAGUCGAGGAUCUUCGGCAAUGAGCGCAAGCUUGACCGAGCGUCGCCGCGUGAGCGAUGAAGGCCUUCGGGUUGUAAAGCUCUUUAGUGGGGGAGAAAAGCCAGCAAUGGUGUGAUCUAUCCCAAAAAUAAGCACGGGCUAAGUUCGUGCCAGCAGCCGCGGUAAGACGAACCGUGCGAACGUUGUUCGGAAUCACUGGGCUUAAAGGGAGCGUAGGCGGGCUAACAAGUCUGGGGUGAAAUGCCGCGGCUCAACCGUGGAACUGCCUUAGAUACUGUCGGCCUCGAGGGAGAUAGGGGCAUGCGGAACUGUAGGUGGAGCGGUGAAAUGCGUUGAUAUCUACAGGAACUCCGGUGGCGAAAGCGGCGUGCUGGAUCUCUUCUGACGCUGAGCUCGAAAGCUAGGGGAGCAAACGGGAUUAGAUACCCCAGUAGUCC
rnacentral:rRNA from 1 species